UACGUAGGGGGCAAGCGUUAUCCGGAUUUACUGAGUGUAAAGGGGGCGCAGACGGCAAUGCAAGCCAGGAGUGAAAGCCCGGGGCCCAACCCCGGGACUGCUCUUGGAACUGCAUGGCUGGAGUACAGGAGGGGCAGGCGGAAUUCCUAGUGUAGCGGUGAAAUGCGUAGAUAUUAGGAGGAACACCGGUGGCGAAGGCGGCCUGCUGGACUGUGACUGACGUUGAGGCCCGAAGGCGUGGGGAGCAAACAGG
rnacentral:rRNA from 1 species